GGUGCCCCCUUGCUGUGUCCCCUGUGCGCGAAAUGAGCGGGGUUGAGGGAAAGAAAAGGGAAUUUGCUGUGCCUUACCUCGGGGUAAUCGGAGGAGGGUUAGCAUCUCCUCAGCCAUUUUGUCGUGGAGGAAGAGUGAGAGCCUUCCCUCCCUCGUCGCGGUGCCGCAGGGUCAGCGCCUGAGAUCUUUCCGUGUCUUUCCGCCGGCUUCCCAGAGAGACGAAGCGUUGUGCGCUGCUCGGCUGCGAUCUUUCGGGGUACGUGGCCCCAUGACGUCGUUUUGUCAAGGUUCGGUGCCAGAGAAGGAGUUGCGAUGGUCAGGUCCUAGCACAAGGAGGAAGCUGCAUCUACUUUCUGAUGAAUUCAUGACAAUUCUUAAUGGGAGCUUGUCAUCAAAACAAUUUGAGAAGGAAAUUCCAAAAGUGUUUUGUUUUAUGUAAUUUGGCUGGCCUCUGCUGAGGAAAGCCACAACAGGCUAAUAAUUCUUGCCAGCGCUCAGACAAAAAGGCUGAACAGCAGCAGGCCUUGUCUUUCCUGGUCUGUCACUCAAAUCUUUCUUUUCCGUUUUCUUUUUUUUUCCCCCCACGGUCUUUGAUAUUUUGCCAAACUUCUACAAUUAAAUACAAUACACGUUUUUUUUCUCAUGCAGCAAUAAAGACUUGUAGUUUUCCUACUGAUGGAUAUCUACCUCUCAGCUGCUAGCCAGGCAACAAACUAAAAUUCUCCCGUAUUUGUGACCUUAAAUUAAAUCUGAGCGUUCAACAACUGCUAAAGUUUUCUGUUUAUUUGCUUCCAAACUUGACAGGCAUAGUCUCUCCCUGCUGCAGCAGCUUUGUAAAGUGACAGGAUGAGUGAAAAGUAAGGGGGAAGAGCUAUUCCCUUGCUAAUUAAACUGACUUGAUGUUGUGGCUAAUUCUGCCUAUUGAGAAUAUAGAUUUGCUGACUCGAGAUACUGUCUUUAUAGGGCCAUGCUUAUGAUAUUUUGGGCUCAAGUUUCCCAGAGAGUAAGCCCAGGCUAAAGUCAUUUAGUUCAAUAGUUUUUAUCAGCUGCUUUUAAUUUUGUUGUAAAAACCAGUUCAAAAAGUGUUUGAUGCCUUCUCAGUAGGAAAUAGUAUCUUCAAUGUCUAGCCUUUCCUGAACACAUGACGCUGUCCGCAUAUCAAGUGGUUUUGUUGGAUUCUGUUGCAAAUACUCACCUAUAAAGUUACUGUACCGUUGUCCAUUUUAUAGCACUGAAUUAUUCAAUAUUAUCAUCCACUGCCAUUCUAGAAGAUAUCUUUCACUGUGAAUUAUUAAAAGGUGUACCUCUGCUUUCUUAA